UCCCCUGUUAACAAAAAACAUCUUUUCUUGUUAGUUUCUGAAGUAUGGCCUGCCCGCUGACGUAUUUGAGUUGAAGGGCCGCGGUAUUUUGACCGUGCAAAGGUAGCAUAGUCAUUAGUUCUUUAAUUGUGAUCUGGUAUGAAUGGCUUGACGAGACAUGGGCUGUCUUAGGUAUCAGAAUUUGUUGUUGAAUUUUGAGUUUAAGUUAAAAUUCUUAGAUGUUUUUAUGGGACGAGAAGACCCUAUAGAGUUUAACAUUUGAUUGCGUAUUUCUUCUUGUUUGUUUUAAAUUUUUACGUUUCUUACAGUGGGAUGUGUUGU
rnacentral:rRNA from 1 species